GUGCUUCCUUCAGCAGCACAUAUACUAAAAAAUUGAACGGUACAGAGAUUAGCAUGGCCCCUGCAUGAGGAUGACAUACAAAUUCAUGAAGCGUUUCUUUCUUUC